rnacentral:lncRNA from 1 species
UUCACAGUGACAACUUGGCUCUUCCUGAAUAGGUAGUAGGGACCCACAGCACAGGGCACAGUGGCCAUCUGGCAGAAGAGGAUUUCAGAGCAAGGUGGGUCUGUUUCCUCAAGGGAUGCUGUGUCACACAUGUGCUUAGGGGGCCUUAAAGCAUCGGUCCACAGAAGUCCUGCCAGUGUGCUGCUAAUAGCUACAGGAUCAGAAAUACUGGUUUCAUUGUGCAGCCUUGAGCUUGAAAGCCUCCAAAGGGGCCUUGUAAAACUGUGCUAGUACAUUGGUCAAUAGUCCUUAGCAAUUUUAAGAAGUCAUUCUUAGUGAAGAAAGCAAGAGGGAUAAUUCAGUCACCCAGCCGUGCCCUACCAUGCUCACACAGCCAAGUACAAUGUCUUAUGUUUCCCCAAUGACGCUCACAGUUUAGGUGUUGAAACCCUUAAAACAGGGAUUGUUUUAGUUAGGCACAUGUGUGUAUGUACCGUUAGUGAAAUACCCACUUCUGCUGUGGUCUUCCAAGGAGAAGGGUCCUGUGGGUCCCACCAGAGGCUAUGUGCUGUGUAGUUUUCUGGUCUCUUCUAUGACCUCAGCCUUGCCUGGCACAAGGUCACAACAGGAAGGAUAAGAAAGGAGUUGGGAGAAGUUGGUGAACUUCUUUUCCUUCUCCAGUUUCCUUUUGGAGGUGUGAACCAAUCAUGAAACUACUAAAAAGAAAGAAAGGCAGUGUGGAGCAGCAUGAAGCAGUGUGAAGCAGUGUGAAGGGGGAGACCACACAGUGGGUCCUGAGAUACUCAGAAUCCAGACCAUUCGCUGUGAAUCCAGGCUGAAGGUGCAGUGCAUUCCUUCACACAAUCCGCACACACAUCCGGCACAUUGUAGCAAGCUAGAUUUCUUUUCUGGAAACAAGGAGCAGAGUGUCCUGACACCUCUAGAUAUUAGGUGCUUACAGAGCCUCAUCAAGAGUGACAACCAGGAAUGGGACUUUCACGUCACCUCCCACACAACCCCUGAAAAUUCCAUCCUACGGAAUGACACACAGGAGCCCGUGCUACAAGGUGUGAGCUCAGCAGGGCAAGUAGGAGGCACGUCUCCUCUCCCAGUUGAAAGUAGACACAUGCCAUGUUUUUUCCCCCCAAUUGACAACUUAGACUUAAGUUUUAGUAAUUUGUGUCAAGAUACUUUUUUUUUUUUUUUAAGGAUACAGACAAUGUUAUUUUAAGAGUCACAGAAACUUGAAAGGUGCUUGAGGCCUUUGGAGGAGAGUGAGGAGGGGACUAGACAUUUAUGUUUCAACUCCCGACUCCCACACCAUCUCCCUCCCUCAUAGCCAGGGGCUCAACAGCCACUGAAGAACCUGAGCUGGACUCUAUGCCCAUGUGACCAGCAGGUGUUUGCAUGGACACAGCAACUGAAGACAAGUGGAAACAAACCACUGCAGCCAAUCAUUUGGUCAGCCACAGUGUGAAGGCUUCCAGAGUACUUGGGGUGAGUGCAUGUAGGUGCUGGGAUGAAGUCAGCAUCUCUCUUCCAAUCUCUGCUCCGGUAUAGCGAUGGCUAUUUAAAAGCUAUGAAGGUCAUCUUCUAGGCAUACCAUAGAAUUACGUAAUAACGGUAAUUAUCUUGGGUGGCUUAUAA